GAUGAACGCUGGCGGCGUGCCUAAUACAUGCAAGUCGAGCGAACAGACGAGGCGCUUGCUCCUCUGACGUUAGCGGCGGACGGGUGAGUAACACGUGGAUAACCUACCUAUAAGACUGGGAUAACUUCGGGAAACCGGCGCUAAUACCGGAUAAUAUCUUGAACCGCAUGGUUCAAUAGUGAAAGACGGUUUUGCUGUCACUUAUAGAUGGAUCCGCGCCGCAUUAGCUAGUUGGUAAGGUAACGGCUUACCAAGGCGACGAUGCGUAGCCGACCUGAGAGGGUGGUCGGCGACACUGGAAGUGGGACACGGUCCAGACUCCUACGGGAGGCAGCAGUAGGGAAUCUGCCGCAAUGGGCGAAAGCCUGACGGAGCAACGCCGCGUGAGUGAUGAAGGUCUUCGGAGCGUAAAACUCUGUUAUUAGGUAAGAACAAAUGUGUAAGGAACUGUGCACGGCUUGACGGUACCUAAUCAGAAAGCCACGGCUAACUACGUG
rnacentral:rRNA from 1 species